rnacentral:rRNA from 1 species
CACUCUAGAGAGACUGCCAGGGAUAACCUGGAGGAAGGUGGGGAUGACGUCAAAUCAUCAUGCCCCUUAUGCUUAGGGCUACACACGUGCUACAAUGGGUAGUACAGAGGGUUGCCAAGCCGUAAGGUGGAGCUAAUCCCUUAAAGCUACUCUCAGUUCGGAUUGUAGGCUGAAACUCGCCUACAUGAAGCUGGAGUUACUAGUAAUCGCAGAUCAGAAUGCUGCGGUGAAUGCGUUCCCGGGUCUUGUACACACCGCCCGUCACACCACGGGAGUUGGAGACGCCCGAAGCCGAUUAUCUAACCUUUUGGAAGAAGUCGUCGAAGGUGGAAUCAAUAACUGGGGUGAAGUCGUAACAAGGUAGCCGUAUCGGAAGGUGCGGCUGGAUCACCUCCUUU